GCCAGGCAUGGUGGCACAUGCCUGUAAUCCCAGCAACUCUGGAGGCUGAGGCAGGAGUAUCACAAGUUUGAGGCCAGCCUCAGCAAUUUGGGUGAGACCUUGUCUCAA
rnacentral:sRNA from 1 species